rnacentral:rRNA from 1 species
GACGAACGCUGGCGGCGUGCUUAACACAUGCAAGUCGAACGGAAAGGCCCUGCUUUUGUGGGGUGCUCGAGUGGCGAACGGGUGAGUAACACGUGAGUAACCUGCCCUUGACUUUGGGAUAACUUCAGGAAACUGGGGCUAAUACCGGAUAGGAGCUCCUGCUGCAUGGUGGGGGUUGGAAAGUUUCGGCGGUUGGGGAUGGACUCGCGGCUUAUCAGCUUGUUGGUGGGGUAGUGGCUUACCAAGGCUUUGACGGGUAGCCGGCCUGAGAGGGUGACCGGCCACAUUGGGACUGAGAUACGGACCAGACUCCUACGGGAGGAAGCAGUGGGGAAUAUUGCACAAUGGGCGGAAGCCUGAUGCAGCAACGCCGCGUGCGGGAUGACGGCCUUCGGGUUGUAAACCGCUUUCGCCUGUGACGAAGCGUGAGUGACGGUAAUGGGUAAAGAAGCACCGGCUAACUACGUG